CUCUAGAAUCAAUGCAUUUCAUAAGCUUUCUUUCGUUUACUCGCCAGCAUUUUAAUCCUGCCUUCCUCUUCUUUCAGUGUGACCGGACCAUUCCUGUGGAGCAACUCUUCUACCACAUGCCACCCAGCACCUCUGCCAGCUCUCACAACCCUGAUUGCCAGAGCCUGCCUCCUGUGUAACCAUCCUUGUGGUGUGAGGAUGCUGUGUUCGUGGAGUUCAGCAGGAUUGUGGGCAAGAACACCAAGCAGGAAUUCUAUGAGAGCAUCAGUUGGUACAGUCCUCGUCUCCUCGAGUUAUUUCGAAGAGAGGGAAUGUUGGACAGUUGUUGACACAGACCAAUGUAGGUCCAUACACAUUAUGUACUUUGCAUUGUUUUUCACAGGUUUCGUAAAAAACAUCAUAUCACAAUGCUACUCUUUUACUUGUAUAAUUCAAUCCAAACAUUGCUUGGUUUGUUAAAGCUUUCUUAUAGAUCAUUAUGUGUUUUUCAUUUUAGCUAUCUAGUACUAUGUUUGAU